UUUCAGAAUUGCAUUGGCAAAUCAUGAAAGGUGUAAUGUUCACGGAUUUUUGUUAGAUGAUCUGUUGGUCCGGUUUAAUUUUAGCGGGCAUGAGGCAUCUGGGAAACAUGUUUCAAGGGCCUUGUUUGUCGAUCUGGAGCCCACUGUUAGUAGAUUAUGGCAGUAAAUCAUAAUAGGUCAUGUUGUU